rnacentral:tRNA from 1 species
GAAUCCGUGGUCCACUGGUGCGCGUCGGACUUCGAAUCAGAAGGUUGCGAGUUCGAUUCUAGCCGUGUUUG